GACUGUAUAUCGCCAAUAUCGAGUAAUCAUAGUUUACGGCGUGGACUACCAGGGUAUCUNAUCCUGUUUGCUCCCCACGCUUUCGUCCCUGAGCGUCAAUCCAGGCCUAGUGAGCUGCCUUCGCUAUCGGUGUUCUAUGACAUAUCUACGCAUUUCACCGCUACAUGUCAUAUUCCGCCCACUUCGACCGAAUUCAAGAAAAACAGUAUCAAUGGCAGUUUCAUAGUUAAGCUAUAAGAUUUCACCACUGACUUAUUCUUCCGCCUGCGGACCCUUUAAACCCAAUGAUUCCGGAUAACGCUUGCACCCUCCGUAUUACCGCGGCUGCUGGCACGGAGUUAGCCGGUGCUUAUUCAUUUGGUACCUNCAAGCUCGUACACGUACGAAGGUUUAUUCCCAAAUAAAAGAAGUUUACAAUCCAUAGAACUUCAUCCUUCA
rnacentral:rRNA from 1 species